rnacentral:lncRNA from 1 species
CUAUAAGGAUUCCAAGUUCAAUCCAAUGCUUAACUAUAAGGAUGCAAUGCUCAUAUGACCCUUAACUAUAAGGUUGUUAUGUCAUAAUGUCAACUAUCUCACUUUACUUGUAUUUUUUAACUUUCAUUAGUACCACUUACACUAUAUGUUCUUUAUACUCAUUCACAUGCAUUCUUGAUUCACUAAUAUCACACACUAA